rnacentral:sRNA from 1 species
AGGACUUGCCCAGGAAUUGCAGUUCUUGUGGCUUAAACCUCCUUUCAAGUUUAUUUAGGUCCCCAGAACACUUUAACCUGCAACUGAGGUUCCGAGUGCUAGGAUGGGCGAUUCCCCGCUUUCUAAGGCUUCAGCGAUUAGCCAAAGAUCUUCUAAAACAACUACAAGUUCAAGACAGUGGCUCAUGGGCAAACAAUAAAGUGUGUGCUUUGGAUCGGACCCUAGGAGAGAUCACUAGAAUACUGGAAAAAGAGGUAUAUACUGUAUGGAAAGCAAUGCAUAUAUCCACCAGGCAAGAUAUACACAAAUGUUCAAUGGCAGCAUUGUUUAUAAUCACCACAUAUGGAAAAUAGUGCAAGAAUCCAUCAACAGCUGGAGAUACAAAUUAUGAAUGUGGCAGAUCAGAUUGCAUUUCAAGCUGCUGGUGGAUUAACAGCCCUUGAACACAUCCUUCAAGCAGUAGUCCCAGCCACAAAUGUGAACACAGUUUUAAGAAUUCCUCCUAAGUCUCUCUGCAAUGCAAUCAAUGUUUACAACCUCACCUGCAAUAACUGUUCAGAAAACUGCACUGAUGUUCUGU